rnacentral:misc_RNA from 1 species
UCAGCUACAGGAUCAGUUUCUGCAGUUGUUUUUACCAAAAGAUUAUAUCAAGCAUACUAAAGAGCACUGUGGGUGCUGUUCUAUUGCAAACAAUCUUCUUACUGAAAAUUUAAGUUAGUGCUAAGCCAUGUUUCCAUCUUUCUAAAUGGAUUUGCACUAGGAAGGACCAAAACUGUGAGCCAAGUCUAUUCUAAAGCAUCAGCCAGUGCUAACUCAGAAGAAAGAGAAAAAAAAAGGAGGAAAUUCCAUAAUUUCAAAAACUACAUUGGAUAAGCAGGAUCUUAUUGCAUUGAGCAUGUCAGACAGGAUAGUAGUUUCAAAAACAAACUUCAAUAAGACAUGUAAAGAACAAAAUAAUCUGGCAACCAUUUUAGGUGUUGAAAUCAAGCAAUCUUGAUUUAACAAUAGUGCUGCAUCAAG